AACUUGUCAUUAUACUAAAUAUCCUUUGACCAGUAGCUGGCCACUUGGAGUGCCUUUGGUGUCGCUGUAAGAAGGUUCUCCAUUGUGCACGUGGGAGGGCUUAGCCUACAUUGUAGUAAGUGGUCUGUGGUUUGCUCUUCUUUACACUCACAUGUUGUGGAAUCCACUUUGUAGCCCCAUUUCUUAAGAAUAGCUCUGCAUCUCGUGGUGCAGUCAUACCAUCCACAUGACCUUGGAGGUGUCUAUGGACAACGCCGGCUCUUCGGCUUAAAAAAUGAGAUGGGCACCAACCCACAGAAUCGGACACAACUAGACUUAAUAUCAGGGGAAACCUUUACCUUUACUCUAUCAUAUGGCAGUUUUAUUCAAGUUCAAUCAUUGGACAGCCGCUGUUUCAGGCAAAAUUUGCUGACCUAUAACCUUACAAAAUAUGACUUUUAAUUUGUAUUUUUGUGCCUUCCCCAUCCAAAUCCACCUAGCUCUCAAAGUAUUCUUACUCAUUUUCUAUCAUUUCCUCUCUCUUUUCCCUUUCACCCUUUUAUCCUGUAUCCAGCUGCCAGUUUCUUUCAUCCCUUCCUGUGUUUACUUUUAUAUAGCCCUUCCAUAUUUGUGGAUAUUAUUAAAGGUUUGAAGUAUUUGCCAUCACGUCCACUGCUGCCCUAUGUGCAUUUUUACUUCCUUCAAUGUGGUCAACGUCCAUUGGAAGUAGGCAGCAAAAUCUUGCUGGAGAACCUACAAUUGCCUGGAGAUGUUUUGUCUCAGAUAAAAAAUAGGGCAUCCUUUUUUCUUUUUCUUUUGCAGGGGUCCUGCUAUCCUACAAAUGUAAUUACUUCCUAUUUUAUUCACUUCCUCCUUGCAAAACAUUUCCUCUCUUGUUGUACAUUUCCUCUUUUAUCCCAGUUUGCUCUCCCCACCUCUUUCAUUCAAUCUUACAGGCUUCUUUUCUUCUUCCCUUCCUGACAAGGCUUUCAGUGGAGGAAGAACGGCAUGAAGUUGGGUGAGGUGGUCACCUCCAUAGGACUGCAAUGCCUAGUUGGCUAUGAAAAGCUCCUGGAGUUGGUUGAUCUCCAGAACUGGCAGUGAGGAAUAUCACCAGCAUGCUGUCACCUCAUCACAUCAGAAAACCUGUGGUGCUGCUAUGCACAGAAACAUGGCAUAAUGGGAUCUCUCCUAUUAGGAAACAGACCCCAAACUAUCCAAAAUGAUGCAAAAAGGGAACUGGCAGAAGAGAAGAGUUUUCGGAUC